CUGGAGACAAAGCAGACACAUGCGGCCGAUGUGGAAAAGCCUUCAGCCACAGCUCUCCCCUGACGGUUCGCGGGCCGGUCCGUGCUGCUGAGACCAGAGCGAGAAGAUGGGGCUUCGAAUGUGUUCCAGGAAGUCAUUAUAAGCUAAUUAUGACCAGUGUGCAGAAACACAGAAAAUGCCUACAAUGCAGUUGAACAACAUAGUUGUGAACCAUGCAGGUCCACUUAUAUGUGGAUUUUUUUCCCAAAAAGGACAGUACAGUAUUUGUAAGAAUACAGUAUAUAAUAUGUAUGACAUAUAAAAUGUGUGUUAAUUGACUGUAUAUGUUAUUGGUAGGGUUUCUAGUCAACAGCAGGCUAUUAGUAUAGUUUUGGGGAGUCAAAGUUCCAUGCGGAUUUUCAGCUGUGCAGGGAGUCAGCAUGCCCACCCCCAAUGUUGUUCAAGAGUGAACUGCAGUGAAAUGUGUUAAACUGUUGUGCCUGUGUUGCCCUCCAUGUGCAUUUGGACAAGGGCUUAGACGGAGACAGAAAUGAACAUAGCUGAUGAAUAAGA